GGAAUAUUGCACAAUGGAGGAAACUCUGAUGCAGUGACGCCGCGUACAGGAAGAAGGUCAUCUGGAUUGUAAACUGUUGUCGAAGGGGAAGAUAAUGACAGUACCCUUGGAGGAAGCUCUGGCAAACUACGUGCCAGCAGCCGCGGUAAUACGUAGGGAGCGAGCGUUAUCCGGAUUUAUUGGGUGUAAAGGGCGCGUAGACGGCGUAGCAAGUUGGUUGUGAAAUCCCUAGGCUUAACUUAGGAACUGCAACCAAAACUGCUUAGCUUGAGUAUGGGAGAGGAAAGCGGAAUUCCUAGUGUAGCGGUGAAAUGCGUAGAUAUUAGGAGGAACACCAGUGGCGAAGGCGGCUUUCUGGACCAAAACUGACGUUGAGGCGCGAAAGUGUGGGGAGCAAACA
rnacentral:rRNA from 1 species